rnacentral:rRNA from 1 species
UUAAGGGUCCUGAAGGAACGUUGAAGACGACGACGUUGAUAGGCCGGAUGUGUAAGCGCAGCGAUGCGUUGAGCUAACCGGUACUAAUGAACCGUGAGGCUUAACCUUACAACGCCGAAGGUGUUU